CGUUGCCUACGGGAGGCAGCAGUGGGGAAUAUUGCGCAAUGGGCGAAAGCCUGACGCAGCGACGCCGCGUGAGGGAUGAAGGCCUUCGGGUCGUAAACCUCUGUCAGGAGGGAAGAAACGGCAGGUGAGUAACUGCGCCUGUUUUGACGGUACCUCCAAAGGAAGCACCGGCUAACUCCGUGCCAGCAGCCGCGGUAAUACGGAGGGUGCGAGCGUUAAUCGGAAUCACUGGGCGUAAAGGGUGCGUAGGCGGCGAAAUAAGUCUGAAGUAAAAGGCGUUGGCUCAACCAACGUAAGCUUUGGAA
rnacentral:rRNA from 1 species